GAAUGUUCCGUUGCUUGUGUGGCAUACCCCGAUGAGGGUACGAGUCCGUGCCGUUGAUGUCCCACUCGGCUUUUGCCCUGCUUCCUGGCUGGGCUCGCCGCUUCUGCUUGCGGCGCGGCGCACGGCCGAGGCACCCGGCGAAGAUUUUGCGGGUGACCCGCGGCUGUCGUGCCCGCGCAAACUCGGUCCCUCUCGGGUGCGGUUGAUCUUGUGGUCACUGGGGCCUGCUCGCAUGGUCCCUCUGUCCCGGACCCAACGUGGUCGCCGAUCGGUUCGGAUGUCCUCGGCGCGGCGUGGUGCUUCGGCCCCUCGUCGCUGCCGACACCGGUGCUGUGCUACCUGGUUGAUCCUGCCAGUAGUCAUAUGCUUGUCUCAAAGAUUAAGCCA
rnacentral:misc_RNA from 1 species